rnacentral:rRNA from 1 species
AGUGGCAGACGGCUGAGUAACGCGUAGGAACCUGCCCACCAGUGGGGGAACAAACCUCCCGAAAGGGGGGCUAAUACCGCAUACGACCACCCGCAAGGGUGAGGAAAGCCGCAAGGCGCUGGUGGAGGGGCCUGCGUCCGAUUAGCUAGUUGGUGGGGUAAUGGCCUACCAAGGCCGCGAUCGGUAGCUGGUCUGAGAGGAUGACCAGCCAGACUGGGACUGGGACACGGCCCAG